AACGAACGCUUGCGGUGCGCCUAAUACAUGCAAGUCGAACGAGAAAGUGCCUUCGGGUGCGAGUAAAGUGGCGGACGGGUGAGGAACACGUGGAUAACCUGCCUCUAAGAGGGGAAUAACUACUCGAAAGAGUAGCUAAUACCGCAUAAGACUACGACUUCUACGGGAGAUGUAGUAAAAGGCUUCGGCCACUUAGAGAUGGGUCCGCGUCCGAUUAGCUUGUUGGUGGGGUAAAGGCCUACCAAGGCUCCGAUCGGUAGCUGGUCUUAGAGGAUGACCAGCCACACUGGAACUGAGACACGGUCCAGACUCCUACGGGAGGCAGCAGUAGGGAAUAUUGCACAAUGGAGGAAACUCUGAUGCAGCGACACCGCGUGAGUGAUGAAGGCCUUCGGGUUGUAAAGCUCUGUGAUAGGGGAAGAUGAUGACGGUACCCUAUCAGAAAGGACCGGCUAACUUCG
rnacentral:rRNA from 1 species